UACGAGGGGGGCGAGCGUUGUUCGGAAUUACUGGGCGUAAAGCGUGCGCAGGCGGCUUUGCAAGACAGAUGUGAAAUCCCCGGGCUCAACCUGGGAACUGCAUUUGUGACUGCAAGGCUGGAGUGCGGCAGAGGGGGAUGGAAUUCCGCGUGUAGCAGUGAAAUGCGUAGAUAUGCGGAGGAACACCGAUGGCGAAGGCAAUCCCCUGGGCCUGCACUGACGCUCAUGCACGAAAGCGUGGGGAGCAAACAGG
rnacentral:rRNA from 1 species